AAAUUGAAGAGUUUGAUCAUGGCUCAGAUUGAACGCUGGCGGCAGGCCUAACACAUGCAAGUCGAGCGGUAGCACAGAGAGCUUGCUCUCGGGUGACGAGCGGCGGACGGGUGAGUAAUGUCUGGGAAACUGCCUGAUGGAGGGGGAUAACUACUGGAAACGGUAGCUAAUACCGCAUAAUGUCGCAAGACCAAAGUGGGGGACCUUCGGGCCUCAUGCCAUCAGAUGUGCCCAGAUGGGAUUAGCUAGUAGGUGGGGUAACGGCUCACCUAGGCGACGAUCCCUAGCUGGUCUGAGAGGAUGACCAGCCACACUGGAACUGAGACACGGUCCAGACUCCUACGGGAGGCAGCAGUGGGGAAUAUUGCACAAUGGGCGCAAGCCUGAUGCAGCCAUGCCGCGUGUGUGAAGAAGGCCUCGGGUUGUAAAGCACUUUCAGCGGGGAGGAAGGCGGUGAGGUUAAUAACCUCAUCGAUUGACGUUACCCGCAGAAGAAGCACCGGCUAACUCCGUGCCAGCAGCCGCGGUAAUACGGAGGGUGCAAGCGUUAAUCGGAAUUACUGGGCGUAAAGCGCACGCAGGCGGUCUGUCAAGUCGGAUGUGAAAUCCCCGGGCUCAACCUGGGAACUGCAUUCGAAACUGGCAGGCUAGAGUCUUGUAGAGGGGGGUAGAAUUCCAGGUGUAGCGGUGAAAUGCGUAGAGAUCUGGAGGAAUACCGGUGGCGAAGGCGGCCCCCUGGACAAAGACUGACGCUCAGGUGCGAAAGCGUGGGGAGCAAACAGGAUUAGAUACCCUGGUAGUCCACGCCGUAAACGAUGUCGAUUUGGAGGUUGUGCCCUUGAGGCGUGGCUUCCGGAGCUAACGCGUUAAAUCGACCGCCUGGGGAGUACGGCCGCAAGGUUAAAACUCAAAUGAAUUGACGGGGGCCCGCACAAGCGGUGGAGCAUGUGGUUUAAUUCGAUGCAACGCGAAGAACCUUACCUGGUCUUGACAUCCACAGAACUUUCCAGAGAUGGAUUGGUGCCUUCGGGAACUGUGAGACAGGUGCUGCAUGGCUGUCGUCAGCUCGUGUUGUGAAAUGUUGGGUUAAGUCCCGCAACGAGCGCAACCCUUAUCCUUUGUUGCCAGCGGUCCGGCCGGGAACUCAAAGGAGACUGCCAGUGAUAAACUGGAGGAAGGUGGGGAUGACGUCAAGUCAUCAUGGCCCUUACGACCAGGGCUACACACGUGCUACAAUGGCAUAUACAAAGAGAAGCGACCUCGCGAGAGCAAGCGGACCUCAUAAAGUAUGUCGUAGUCCGGAUUGGAGUCUGCAACUCGACUCCAUGAAGUCGGAAUCGCUAGUAAUCGUAGAUCAGAAUGCUACGGUGAAUACGUUCCCGGGCCUUGUACACACCGCCCGUCACACCAUGGGAGUGGGUUGCAAAAGAAGUAGGUAGCUUAACCUUCGGGAGGGCGCUUACCACUUUGUGAUUCAUGACUGGGGUGAAGUCGUAACAAGGUAACCGUAGGGGAACCUGCGGUUGGAUCACCUCCUUA
rnacentral:rRNA from 1 species